UAGGAGGAAGACAAAUGCGAAGCAUUUUUAUAAAUGUCUUCCGACGAGUUGCCGCCGAACAGAGGUGAGGGGGCGUUACAA
rnacentral:sRNA from 1 species